UACGUGGGGGGCGAGCGUUGUCCGGAUUUACUGGGUGUAAAGGGUGCUCAGGCGGGUCUGUAAGUCAGGGGUGAAAUCCCAGAGCUCAACUCUGGAACCGCCUUUGAUACUGCAGAUCUCGAGUUUGGGAGAGGCGAGUGGAAUAUCUGGUGUAGCAGUGAAAUGCGUAGAUAUCAGAUAGAACACCAAUGGCGAAGGCAGCUCGCUGGCCCAAUACUGACGCUAAAGCACGAAAGCGUGGGGAGCAAACAGG
rnacentral:rRNA from 1 species